rnacentral:rRNA from 1 species
AUUGAACGCUGGCGGAAUGCUUUACACAUGCAAGUCGAACGGCAGCACGGGAGCUUGCUCCUGGUGGCGAGUGGCGAACGGGUGAGUAAUAUAUCGGAACGUACCCGUCGUGGGGGAUAACUCUCCGAAAGGAGUGCUAAUACCGCAUACGACCUGAGGGUGAAAGCGGGGGACCUGCAAGGGCCUCGCGCGAUGGGAGCGGCCGAUAUCGGAUUAGCUAGUUGGUGAGGUAAAGGCUCACCAAGGCGACGAUCCGUAGCGGGUCUGAGAGGACGACCCGCCACACUGGAACUGAGACACGGUCCAGACUCCUACGGGAGGCAGCAGUGGGGAAUUUUGGACAAUGGGGGAAACCCUGAUCCAGCCAUUCCGCGUGAGUGAAGAAGGCCUCGGUUGUAAAGACUCUUUCUAGCAGGAACGAAACGGUAAGGGCCUAAUACAGUCUGCUAAUGACGGUACC